CGUCUGAAAUAAAGAAAUGUAUGUUGCUGUUUUAUUAUUUUUUACAUAUAUUCAUUGCAAACUGCUGUGGGGAAAGUACAUUGAUAUCUUUAUACAUUCAAUCUUUUGUGUCCAACCACCAAGCUAAUUUUUAUAUCCAGGAACUCGGACGACAGUGGAUGUCAGCGACACUACUGCCCCCUGGAGGGCAAAGGCCAGCCCAUGGCUCAAGCUCAUCAAGCACCAAGCCAAGACUGUGCCUCCCCAACCUCCAGAAGCACAAGGCCAAUGCAGCACUUGGAUCUUCAGCCAAGAUCAGCAACUUAACACAUCCAGGACACAAACCUAAACUUCCCUGACUGCAUGACAUGGUCUGUCUUUACCAGUUUUGCCCUUUUAGCAUGUGAUGGCUUUACUCAAGAAAAAAUGAAAAAUGCAGCUACCUGAGAUUGCAUACAUGGCCUUGGUGUUGGGACUUGCACAGUCUUCCAGAUGUGGGAAACAUUUUUCAACAACACAGCCUGAGAAAGACAAGGUGCAUGAAUCCAGCUUUAUCAUUAAAUCCAGUUAGCUUAGACAGUACUAUACUUUAAUUAUGUGUUUAAAGGGAAAAUGUCAGUGUUUUAGGCAGAAAAGAAAUAUAGUUGCUGCUUUUAAAAUGUUGGAAUCACACUUUACAGUUAAAAAAUAUAAGAUUUUUCUUAGACAGUGUGUGAUUGUGUGUAACAGACAGAAAAAAGCAGUCAGGGUUCUAUAAUUCUAAAAUGGUAAAGACAUACACUCUUACCAAUAUGGGUAUCAUGUUGGAUGAGAUUCCCAUUUAAUAUUUUAGGUUAGCAAAUAUAUAACUGUGACUAAUGCUUGUUUAUUUAUUUGUUGCUUAUUUAUUUAAUUUGACUUAUCAGUAAUCUAACAGUUUUAAAUGUCCCCUCAAUAUGACUGGAAAUCAAGGAAUGGGAGCAUGUUUUUUUCCUGAUUCUAACCACAGCAGCUUGUUAUGUUGUGAGAACACAGAAACAGGGCUUCCUUGACACCUGCAUGGGCAAAAGGCCAGGAAAUUCAGGAUAUGCCUUCCAACAUAUAUUUCCUUGAUUUUUGUAAUGUCUCAGUGUUGGUUGCCAUACUGUGAGGCACUAAGAUAUGCUCAAAAGAUUUCAAACAAGCAAACAUAUGGUGAUGCAUAUAGCAAUACUAAAAGAAACUUAAAAAAUACCACGACAAACGUUUUGCCAAAAGUCUUUCUCUAUGUCUUCUAUUGAAGAUUGACAAAACCUUGUAGUCAAAACAAUACUUUUCUUUUAGUAUUACUACAGAUUCCAACAACUGUCAGUGGUUUACUUCCCAGAGCCAGACAUUGGGGAAUAGAAACACCUGUGAUCAACAUAAAUUAUGUUUUUUGGUAUUUUAUGCAAUUGUUGCAUGCAGUUAACAUGUUUUGUUAUUAUUUGAUACUUUUUAAAAGCAGCUAUAAAGAUUUAAUUUAAUUUGAAGAAUACUCUUUUUUUUUGCAAGACAAGAACUAUAGGCUUAUUUUAUAGAAUGUUUAACUUUUAAAUUCUUACUGUAUCUUUCGUUCUCCUCACUUGCCACUAUGAAGGACUUCUUUGAAAAAAAAGCUAAGAUUAAAAAAAACAUAAAAACAGAAAUCUUUAGUUCAGGAUUUUGGAGAAAAAAAAAAAACUUGUUUAGUGAUAACAUUUUGCAUAUAGACUAUAGAUUACAUAAGAAACUGUAUAUUUUUCCAAAACAGCAAUGUGCACUUUAUCAACCUUGUCUCUUUUUAUCAGUUUAAACAUCAGGUUCCUAAGUAAUACAUGGAAGGGUUCCAGAAGUGUCUUUCUAUUAUACUUCUGAAAUGGCUACCUAUAGGAAUAGAAGUAAUAGUCAAACGCUUCUCAGCUGUCCAGGUGUUCUGAGAUACAGCUGAGAAUAUUUUAUAUCCAAUUAGAUAAUUUCAAGCGGUUUUACUGUGGGACACAGCGGUUGUCAUGUCACAGUGUCAGCUAUUUAACUGCAAGGGCUCUUUUUUAAUGAUUCAAGCAGUGAUGGUUAUAAUUACUGUGGCUUUUUAACUUUAUUUUAAUCCACCUGGGGUUUUCCUCCAGGGGUGAUUUUUGACACACUUAGCAUUACUACAUGCAAUACAAAUACAGUGAAAUGAGGUUUGAGAGCCAGAAGUCAUUUUUUUUUUUUUUUUUUUUACAGGUUCCAGGCUCUAAACAAACUUACAGCGUAAUCGGUAUCAUACUAAAAAAUGCCUGGUAUAGUCUGUUUCAUGUUUGUGAUACUUAAGUUUCAUCAACAAUCGCUAAUAUGCCUUUGGAUACAACAUACAGAGACUGUGCUGUAAUGAUACUGCUUUUAUCAGUAUGUAUUUAUUUCACUGUGAUAGCGUGGUUCUGAUGAUAGAUCAAUACCAGGGUUUGGAGUGCCAAGAAUCUACUCUACCAAUAAAUUAAACAAAUAGAAGACACAGGAUAUUUAUAUAUGUACAAUAUAUGAUGAGAUAAACAGUACUAAUGACAGGACUUUUUCAUCAGAGGGAUUAAUACCUGUUUAAAUUGUACCGGUAUCCUUUAUAUAUCUAUAAAACAAAUGAAUCUAUAGAAGCUAGGGUAGCAAUCGGUAAAAAAGCAUUGUGCAGGUAUAUAUUUCUUUUAUCCAUAUUUUUUUUUUUUUUAAUUGUAAAUAAUUGUCCUUCAUUUAUGUUCAUUUAAUUAAUAUACUUUAUAACUAUGUUACAACAAUCACUAAGACUGUGAAGUCUGACUUCGGCUCACCAUUUUCAAUUUUGUCUCGUGCACAGGAAAUAAAGUGAAAACAAUUCUACAACAGGCAUUUUACAUUUACAAAAUGUUACACUACAUAGAUAAAUCAUUCACAGAUAUGUGAUAGGCAAUGCACAUUAGGAAAAGGAACGUUUACCUCUUUUGAGCUUUGAUUUCAUGUCAUUCUGAAGUCCAUAUGCAGGUUCUAAAAGAAAAAAAAAAGAAAACACACAGAUGGAACAGAUGCUUGUAGAUGGAACCGUUGUUGCAAAGGACUUACAGCUUCGAGGUACCUGAACUGUGGCCAUCCCCUGCAAUUAAUAUCCAUUUCAAACCCAGUUAGAAUACAAGACUGAAAGUAAUAUUCAGUUAAGAAUCUUGAAUUGGGAUAGCCUUCUGUUUUUCAGUGAUAUCCAAUUAAGGUUUGAAUGACAUUUUUCAGCAGCUAAAGACUACAGCAAACUCCUUUCUUCUGACCAUCAAAGACACACACACACCAUAAAGACUUCUGUUUGUCAGUCUCUUACAAUUUGGAGACCUGCAUUAAAAAGACAAUUUUAUCGAGAAGGAUUCCACUAUAUUUAAAACGCCACUGUACAAACGAACAAAGAAGCAAACAACAACAGCCUGCUUUCCGACUUACCAGUUAGAUAAGCGAGGAAGAGUAGAACUGUCAUGGUAACCAAAGUUUUCAUCUUCUGUCUCUUCUCUUCUUGGAUUCUGUGAGUGAUCUCCAAUUGUAUGGAUAGCUUUCACUGCCUAUACUUUUUAGUAGUGAGGUCUUCUUAUACUGCUGUUGCCUCUCUGAUUGGCUGGUCUCAAUGAGUUGGAUUUAGUCAUGUCUGGUAUUUUAGUACUCACAGGAAUGAUGUAGGAGAGAGAUGUAUGAAACCUUCUACACAAAGGUGGCCAAAUGAACAGUGCCACUUGAAAAUAGGAAGUGAAUGACAAUACGCAUUACCUCCCCUCCCCCUCAAGCUUGUUUGCACAAAGAAAACAAGAGUGGGUGCAUUCACCACAACACAAAACAAACCCAAAGAAAGACCUAAAAAUGAGGAAAAUAAUGUUGUUAUCCUGAGACAGAAUUAUACAGUACAGCUAGAAUAAACAGACGUCAUGAAGUCCAUGGAGAGUAUUGCAGCAACAGCUUGUUGCAGAACUUAGAAGAUGCACUUACAUGACUCUUUUAUUUUGCACUUGUCAUAUAAUAGUUAUAACUACAGUUAGUAAAACAUCUGCAACUUUGUCUCGGAUUUUGACCACACAGAAGACUGUUUUCAUUCAGUAUUUUCAAAGCAUUUACUCCACUCUUUAAUUAAUGGUACAUAACUGAGAAACAAACAACUUGAGAGUGUUUAAUAAACCUUGAAUUAUAUUACUUUGCUGUUUGUUGUAGUUUUGUAAAAUGACUCCUUAAAAAAAAAAAAAAAAACUAAAAAAAAACUAGGAGUUAUUUAAAGUUUGGAGAAAGAGGGUUGAAAAUUAGCCCUAAUAUAUAGUUCAUAAAACAUACCUUGCGUUGUUUUUAGUGUGUAAACAUAUUUCUUAUGUACAUCAAUGAUAUAGAUCGGAGGAUGAGUAGCAAAUUCAUCAAAUUUGCAGAUGAUGCAAAGCUUGUUCUAAUGUUAAAAUGUCGGUUAGUAUUAGUAAAAUUAAUGAGAAUGAGAUUUGUGCAUCUAUAUAUACAGCUGUGCAGGGACUCAAUUACUAAUUAAUCAUUCACUUGAAUCCCAGCACAUUUUAUCUGCACGUGAAGUGAUUGUGCAAUCCCCGUGCCUAAAUAAAAAUAUACAUUUUAAAUCACUCAUCAUAGCCCAAUUUAUACCCCGUGAACCACUAUAUCCGCACCAGCAAUAACACACCACAUACAACGUAAAACUCAAAACUAUGCACAGGGGCGGUGCACCCCACCACAGGGCCUCACAAUUGCACACAAAAUGAUGUUAAUUUGGUACUGCUGGGAGCCACCUGAUACUGGGUUACUGGUUUUAAUGAACACAACGACAGCGUUGUGAAACAAAGCCCACAUUUACAGAUUACAGUAAAGGGCAAGCCCAACAUCAUUUCACUGCUGUUUAUCAAAUAUCCGUUCAUUCAACUGUGGAAAGAAUUAGACAUUUGUUCAGGACAUAUAUAUAAUAACCUCUUAAUGAACAGGCCCCUGGUAUAACAAUAACAACCACUCCGCAAUUGUAGUCAAAAUGAUCAGAGUACAAUGGAAAUACCAGCGGCUCAAUUAGAAAAUAGUAAAACAGAAAAAUGUUUUUAUUUCUUUUUUUAAUUAUUGCACAGGAAAAUACACACCUGGGUUUUAUUUUUAUACCCCCAAUAUUCCUGGUGGAAUUUGAGGUGAUAAUCAGUAAGCGAUGGUCAUGUAUCCAAAAACAAUUUAAACACCUUGCAGGUUUGUCAAAUUAUAUGAUGGUCCUUGUAUGAUCUUGACACAAUUUAAAGUAAUCUUCUACCACUUUGGUAAGUAGAUUCCUGCAUGCUAAUAUAAAUAUAAAUAUAUAAAUUCUGAGAUUCUCAUGUUCAGCAUUCCCUUUUCCAGUGGUCUAAUAUUUACAAUCUAUGUACAGCACUUGCACGUAAAAAAAUAAAUGUGUUGAAAACAAUAAAAUAUAAUACUUGUACAAUUCACUGUCAACAUAGACUAACUGAAUUUGAAAUACGGACAAAGCACUGGAGUGGAAAUAGUCCCAGGUUUGUGUUCUGUUUUGUUGGAAUAGAUAAUAAAUGCACACAGUGUAACACCACAUUUUCAGACUUUAUUGAAAAAUGUAAAUUAUAAAAAUGUGCACAGAAAACUGACUGUGAAAAGCUAACAUACAGUCACCAGGCAGAGAAAUCUGAAACAUGGUCAUUAUGGGUAAAUAACAGGCUUGUAAUGUUCCAUUAUCAAAUGUUGUUCUUUACAGUUAAGCCAAGCUGAACAUUUUACAAAAUUGCUCUGUACGGUCGUCUUUGAAAGAUACAAAUAUCUGGAGCAGUCAAAUUUUACUGUUGGGGGGGAAGGGGGGAAAUUCUGAUGCUGAAGAAUUGCAAUGAAAGUUUUAAUUGUAUUUUUUUUCCUCCACAAUACGAGAAGGAAUGUAUGACCGAGUCUUUCCUUCAGAUCUCGGAUCAAGUACACACCGCCUUAUUCUGGGUCAAGUCGUGGCAGGACAGGAAGAAUAAGAUUUCCAAAUGAAGAAUCCUGAGUUAUGAAGAAGCCUGACGAGUGUGCAUGGGCAUGCUGAAAAGAGAGUCAAAAACAUGGCAACAUUAGUCUAAAAAACUUCUUGGAGUCAGAACUUCGUACAUGGAAGAUGACCUCCAAGGAAAAUCAGGUGCUGCAAACAGCGAUACAGUGAAACAGUGAUUCUCCCCAACUCCCCAUCAUGGUGUAAGGGGCCACUUUUCUGUUGCAAAGUGACCUCCUUCUGAUGAGACAUUAAUGUCUAUUAACUGAAUUUACAGGUUGUACCAUAUCAAUGUAUGCUGCAUUAAAAAUCAUGAAUAUGCUUUAACAGUGAGUAAUCUGGCAACUCACCUG